rnacentral:rRNA from 1 species
AACGAACGCUGGCGGCAUGCCUAACACAUGCAAGUCGAACGAGACCUUCGGGUCUAGUGGCGCACGGGUGCGUAACGCGUGGGAACCUGCCCUUAGGUUCGGAAUAACUCCCCGAAAGGGGUGCUAAUACCGGAUAAUGUCUUCGGACCAAAGAUUUAUCGCCUUUGGAUGGGCCCGCGUUGGAUUAGCUAGUUGGUAGGGUAAAAGCCUACCAAGGCGACGAUCCAUAGCUGGUCUGAGAGGAUGAUCAGCCACACUGGGACUGAGACACGGCCCAGACUCCUACGGGAGGCAGCAGUGGGGAAUAUUGGACAAUGGGCGAAAGCCUGAUCCAGCAAUGCCGCGGGAGUGAUGAAGGGCUUAGGGUUGUAAAGCUCUUUUACCCGGGAUGAUAAUGACAGUACCGGGAGAAUAAGCUCCGGCUAACUCCGUG